AGGGUGUAAACGCUGCAGACUUGGUGUUGGAGGCCCUUUGGGGGCAUUCAGUGCCGGAGAGAAGUUGUUAAGUCUGCUACUUGGGGAGUACGUCCGCAAGGAUGAAACUUAAAGGAAUUGGCGGAGGAGCACCGCAACGGGAGGAGCGUGCGGUUUAAUUGGAUUCAACACCGUAAAACUCACCAGGGAAGACUGUUACAUGAAGGCCGAGAUGAAGACUCUGCUAGAUUUUCAGAGAGGAGGUGCAUGGCGUCAGUGACU
rnacentral:rRNA from 1 species